CUCACUGCUCCAGCUAGGGAGCAGAGGGGCAGGGGCAGCCCUGCUCUCUGGAGCAGACAGCCCAGUUCAGCCCAUCCUAGGGCUUCAAAGCAUGCUGUGAUGCUGCAGGACUGUGAUUUAACUUGAACCAGGAUGGGGUCUGGGACAGAAGGGAGAAGAACCUCAGAG